CCCAGUUUCUGGGACUGUGCCCUCUUGCUGUGUUACUUAUUGGGAAGCUGGAAGAUUCAUGAUGUUACCUUUAAACCUCUCCCCGGCUCAAUGACAUGGCUUCGCCAGAAUGCAGAGGCCAGAGCUCAGAAUAUUUGUCACACAGAUAUUUAAAUGGAAUCGGAGCUGUACAUAACCAUGACAUAAUACUUUGUCAAAAAGAGAAAAAAAGUUAAUCAGUUUGGAGAUAUAUUUACUUAUGGUAUGGAGAAGAUGAUGAUAACAACGCAGAGCUUGGUUGGACAACAUCAGCAGAGGCUCAGUUUUAUCUAGAGAACACCUGA